rnacentral:rRNA from 2 species
CGUGGGCAACCUGCCCCUCGCUGGGGGACAACCGGGGGAAACCCCGGCUAAUACCCCGUACGCUAUAGGGACCGCAUGGUCCUUAUAGGAAAGGUAGCUUCGGCCAUCCGGCGAGGGAUGGGCCCGCGGUACAUUAGCUAGUUGGUGAGGUGACGGCUCACCAAGGCGACGAUGUAUAGCUGGUCUGAGAGGAUGAUCAGCCACACUGGGACUGAGACACGGCCCAGACUCCUACGGGAGGCAGCAGUCGGGAAUCUUGCACAAUGGGCGAAAGCCUGAUGCAGCAACACCGUGUGAGCGAGGAAGGUCUUCGGAUCGUAAAGCUCUGUUGUUGGGGACGAAGGGCGAAGGGUUAAUAGCCCCUAGCCUGACGGUACCCUUCGAGGAAGCCCCGGCUAACUACGUGCCAGCAGCCGCGGUAAUACGUAGGGGGCGAGCGUUGUCCGGAAUUAUUGGGCGUAAAGAGCGUGUAGGCGGCCUGGUAAGUCUGCCGUGAAAACUUGGGGCUCAACCCUGAGCGUGCGGUGGAUACUGCUAGGCUAGAGGAUGGUAGAGGCGAGUGGAAUUCCCGGUGUAGCGGUGAAAUGCGCAGAUAUCGGGAGGAACACCAGUAGCGAAGGCGGCUCGCUGGGCCAUUCCUGACGCUGAGACGCGAAAGCA